ACCACGUGUAAGUGCACGUAUUUCUAGACUUCAGCUACGAGUAGGUCCUCUGCCAUGUUUUUCUGCGCGGCUCCGUUAGAAAAAUGUGGAGGUGCACAGCGCGGAAAUUUUCCGCGUGAGAACGGCCGCUCGAGGGGGCGUGGCUGCUAAAAUGACGCAAUUUUUCGGCAGGGAGCCGCACGGACCUCGCGGACGCGGAAAGCAUAAAACAGGCUUUAAUGUCAUCAGUCGGGCUGAUUCUGUGCUGUGGUGAGAGCGGAAGCCAGAUGUAAAGUUUCUCAGAGAUGCAGAUUUCAUUCAGACGAUCACAUGACCCGAAUUGAUGACGUCUGUGGUCUGCGCCAUAUAGACAUCAACACCACCGUCUGUGGCAAUGGCUUUCUAUGGCUUUCACCAGCUGCAGCGUUCUGCGCUUUUUACAGAACGUUGUAAUAAUUAACUGUUAUUCAGUCAGCGGCAAAGUGAAGUUGUAGGAUGUUACCAAUACAGGAAGGAACGAAAGAGUGAAAGUAGCAGUUCCUCCUGAAGGUCAGAGAUUGCAGCAUCCGAGGGCCUCUUCAAAAGAAGACGUAGUUGAUGAAGGCUUUCUGGAGCAGGACCAGAAAGACCACGACCAAGCAGCCUUGAGAUCUUAGGCAGCGUCUCCCUCAGGUCCCUCUCUAUCUCCCCAUACAUCCACCAACCACUGGAACACAUCUCCAAAGUUCUGCUGCCAGCUCAGCUUCCCCUCAGAAGAAGUGCCGCCACCUGCCAGAUGAAGGAGCCUUUUGAGAGGCAGCUGGCAUCGUGAUUGGACUGUACUGUGGUCUGUUCCAAUCCAGCUUCAGCUCCAGAGACGGCAGGCGGGACGAGUCAACGGAGGCCGGGUGGACGAAGGCAUGCCGCUGAGUCGGAAAAAAAAUGUGAUUUUUCAACAUGUUGUAAAAAUGUGCCAUAUGAUGAAAUAAUGUAAAGGAGGGCGUGAAAAACACUCCAGAAAGGUUUUCUUUGAAAAAAAAAAUCAUGAAUUUUGGCGCAAAAAAAUGCCAUAGUAUACUAUGUCAAAAAAAAAUGAUAUUUUUCAACAUGUUGUAAAAACGUGCCACAUGAUGAAAUAAUGUAAAGGAGGCCGUGAAAAACACUCCAGAAAGGUUUUCUUUGAAAAAAAAAAUCAUUAUGAAUUUUGGCGCAAAAAAAACGCCAUAGUAUACUAUGUCGAAAAAUGUCAUUUUUCAACACUAAAACUUAUUGAAAAAUAGGUUUUACUUAAGUCCACCUGUUUCAACCAUCUCUACCCCUCAUUAGGUACCACUCUAAGGUACAUUAUACAACAAAAAGUCCAGUAGAUGUCACUUGUGUUUUGAAAUAGCAUGCAGAGCAAGUUAGUCUGCUCACAGGAAGUUAACACGAGCAAAAUCAUUCCUCACGAGGCCUCUAUUUGCUGUGAUUUUCAAAGGUAAAGUAAUACUUUUGACAUAUUAUGGCGCCUAAGGAGUUGCUGAAAACAAAUGUGUCAUUUAAAUGUUAAAAAAAAAAAAAAAAAAAGAUUUAAAAGGGUAAAAUAAUGUUUCUCAACCGUUUGGUAGUGGUCAAUAUUUUAAAAAUCACUGGGUCUCUUCAUAAAAAAAACAUUGAUUG
ensembl:lncRNA